rnacentral:lncRNA from 1 species
UAUCGUAACCAGCAGGGUCUUAAGAGCUGCUACUGCUACAAGAUAGUCCUCAGGGAUGAUUCCAUUGUUGAGAGCCGUUUUAUGCAUGACAGAUUUGCAGUCAGCGAUUCUCCUGAAGCGCCACUGGUCAUAGCAACACCAAUGAAAGUUAGCUCUUUCAGCAUAUCUGGCAAGCGAUGAUACACAGCCAGUGAACAAUUGUUGCUCUCUUAGCUUAACUAAUAUCGUUUCAUAUAUUUCAUUUAAAGACUUUUCAGUUGUACGUAGGAUGUUUUCAAUUGUAGCUGAUAUUGAUGUCAUUUCGGAUAUACAGGAAAAGUGUUGAUUGUCCAGUUGUACCAGCAUGUUCAAUUGUAUAAUUUUUUAUCUCAAUAUCUUUUCCUUUUUACUCAUUUACCAGUUCCUUUUCAUUUAGCGCCUCAACAAGUGCUGGUAGAGCGAACAUGCCGAGCUUCCACCAUUAAUUUGCUUGUUUUGGCUUUACAUACACUAUGUCAAUUAAAACAUAAAAGGUAUGAAAAAUAAAUAAAAACAAACCUGGAUUGUACAAAUUGGGAAAGGCUCACACCUCUCUUUGCUCUUACGGAAGAAGCUGAAGUAAUUUAUGAUUUCUAGUGUGGUAAUCUGAAACGGAUG